GGAGAGAUGGAGGCUAGAGACAAGCAGGUGCUUCGCUCCCUUCGCCUGGAGCUGGGUGCCGAGGUACUGGUGGAGGGACUGGUUCUUCAAUAUCUUUACCAGGAAGGAGUCUUGACGGAAAACCAUGUUCAGGAAAUCAAAGCUCAAGCCACAGGCCUCCGGAAAACAAUGCUGCUGCUGGAUAUCCUACCUUCCAGAGGUCCUAAAGCAUUUGAUGCAUUCCUAGAGUCCCUGCAGGAAUUUCCCUGGGUUAGGGAGAAGCUGGAGAAGGCAAGGGAAGAAGCCAUAACUGAGCUGCCUGCAGAUGACCGGAUGACCGGUAUCCCCCUACACAUCCUCAACAGCUCCCCAUCCGACCAGCAGAUUAACCAGCUGGCGCAAAGGCUGGGCCCUGAGUGGGAGCCCGUGGUGCUGUCUCUGGGACUGUCCCAGACGGAUAUCUACCGCUGUAAGGCCAACCACCCCCACAACGUGCAGUCACAGAUGGUGGAGGCCUUCGUCCGCUGGCGGCAGCGCUAUGGGAAGCAGGCCACCUUCCGGAGCUUGCAGAGAGGCCUUCAGGCCGUGGAGGUGGACCCCUCGGUGCUCCAGCACAUGUUGGAAUAAUGGUGUCUCCCUCCAUCCACCCAUGGGGAGCAUGUCCCCAAGUUGCAUGUGCAGAAUCCUGACUUUCUCCCAGGGCAGUUGAGGGUCUUAGGAGGUGGAGCCUUUGGGAGGUGAUGAGGUCACAAGCGUGAAGCCCUCUUGAAGAGACCCCACAGAGCUUCCUGGCUUCUUGUGCUUAGCGAGGAUACAGUGAGAAAGCCCCAGCUCUGAACCAGAAGAGGACCUUCACUAGAACGUGACCAUGCUGGUGGUGCCUUGGUCUUGAACUUCCCAGCUAUCAGAAUUGUGAGCACUUCUAGGAGAUGUAUUGAUUUAAUCAGGACUUUGCUGAUACCACAGUCUUUGGCAUGACUUAUUGGCUCAUUGCUGAUCCCAGGAAGAGACCAAGUGUUCACAAAUGAAGUUUUCAAUAUUUGUGGAAAGAGGGAGUCAACGGAUGCUGGGUCUAAAUGUUCCUGCACUCCACAUCCUUGAUGCUGAGCAGUUCCCGGGGACAGCUGCAGCUGCUGAAGCACAGCGUCCCAGGCUCCACUGAGGGGACCUGCUGUAGUCAUCAGCACAGAAAGAACUCUCCAGAACAGGUGGCCCAGGAUAUGCUUCCUUUCCCCCUACCUCAUUACAGGCUGCAUAGAGACUGUGUCCUGGUACUUACUUAAGGCAAUGCUAGAACACGUCCCCUUAGCUAAAUUCCUGCUCCAUCUCAAUGGACUCAGUCUGCCAGAGCACCACAUUCACAUGCCCUGAGCAGAGGGUGGGAGGAGAGAAAAGGAGAGGAAGCAGCACUGAUGGAGCAUAUGACCCAGGCACAUGGAGGGUGAUCUCAACUAAGUUUCGUGUCAUUUCAUCCUCUGACAACCUUAGGAGCCAGGAUUUUAGCCUCACUUCUCUUAUUUUACAGGUCAGGAACCUGAUGCUCCAGGAAGUUAGCUAACCUGGCCGAGGUCAUUCACUAAGAUACAUAGCAAUGCCAAAAUCUGAACUCAGGUCUGCCUGAGUUGUUGUUGUUGUGGUGGUGGUGGUGGUGGUGGUGGUUGUUGUUGUUGUUGUUGUUGUUUAUAACCUCCUGAGGUACAGCCAAGGGCCCAGAAUGGCCCUGUCAGCUUCAUAUUAAACAUGUCUCCAGUCCACCUGCUGGGUUUUUGGUGUCAGUGCCUUUCUCCUGUCAUUAUUACAGAAAUUAAGUGAGUGAUGUUCAUAAAAUAGAUGUUCUUUAAUAUCUCCUGCUGCGCCAACCAUCAAGUCAUGUGAUGUGGCACAGCAAAGUGAGGUUGUGGUUAUUGCCCUGUGGGAUUUCAUCAAAAGCCAAGAUAAUCCUGGCUGAGACAGUCUGCAGGCAGGGCACAGCUUGGGUUUGAAUAGAGCAUUUGUCUCAUUGGCUGAAGGAAAAGGACUCUAUUCAUAACCUUCUCCUGAUAGCCUUUGCGCGAGAAAGUGUAGGAAAAGCCAGAUUCUCAGCAAGAAGGGGCCUGUUCCCUUUCUCUGAGCAUGAGGAUUCCACAUUCCAUUCCUGGCAACCAUGAUUUAGAUAAAUGGUUUAAAUUUUCUUUUUCCCACAAUUAUGGGGGCAGUACUAAGAAGUUAUCAUCAUAUCUAAGUGUUCUGGGGAGUAAGUAUUCUUACUUGAUCUAGAUAAAGGAAAUCUGAGCUCCUCCUUGACAUCACUAAAGAAUCUCAUUGCUCUCUGUCCUCACCCUAAAGCUUUCCUUCUGUCUCCAAGGAGUAGACGCCAAAACUGUUUCCAAAGUGAAAUGUCACUAGCCCACUCUACCCUCUGAGGAACAAUCGCCCUGCCCUUUAUAGCUGACUGUGACUGCCAUCCAGCCUUCCAAACAGCUUAUCUUUUUAAAUCGCUCACAGGAUUGGGACAUGAUCUGCCAUCUGAAUUUGUUAAUUCCAGCAAAGAUUAUGUGAAGUCAAUAUUGGUCAACCUGAAGUUUGCAACAUGUAACAAUCUGAGGAAUUCCCUUCCUGGUCCCACCGACUGUGACCUAAACAGAUCCCCAAACAUGGUGGCCUCCCUUGCAGUACAGGGCUUGCUCAGGCAGUAAUGGCCCCAGUAUUUAAGAUUCAUAGUGAGUGCUUCAGGCACAAACUCAUGUGUGUGAGUCUGUACUGCUCCAGUCUCCAGGUACAGUUGGCACUUCUGUGAACCUCUUCCUUCCCAUGUCCAGGCUGUUGGCAUCCCACAUCAAGCCACUAUGGUUUCCUCUUCUUUCCCUAGGCUCUACAUCUCACAUGCAACCUCAGACUUUUCUGCUCUUCCUUGAUUCAUUCAUUCAUUCAUUCAUUCAACAAAUAAGUUUUUGUAGUACCUACAAUGUACCAAGCACUGGUGAAGGAUAUCAUAGUGAACUAAACAAGCAUAUAUCCUGUCCUCAUGGAGCUUACAAUCCAGUGAAGAGUUAUAAGCUACAACAAAUGAUAAGAAGAAAAAGAUCAAUGAGCUAUGAGAGCAUACUGAAAGGAGGCCCACUCUCACUUGGGGGUCAGAAGGUUCCUAUGAGGAUGCUCUGGUCCCCUACUCUCUGCUUCAUUACCUCAGGCUUGGUCCUUGAGCUCUGUCAUCGGUUAGCCUUCCAUUUUGGUGGCUCUGUUGGACCAUUUAUUUUGCUUUUGAGUUUUCCUCUCCAAGAUGUCACCUUUCAGUAAUGCCCCUUUAUUCAAUGAACCACAGUCAAAGAUAACAGGGCAAAAGCUAUCAACGAUUACUUUACAAAUGCUAGUCAAUGACUAUGGAAACAGUGAGAAAGAGGUUGGCAUGAGACCCAAUAGCUUGUAACCUGAAAAUAUUACUGUAAAUUCUGUGUGCCGGUUCUACAGCACUGGUAAUGAGGUGCCAUUUCUUGUGACCUGGCCCUUCACCACACUCGGACAGCAUAUACUGUCCAGGCCCUAUAUGUAGGACCCCAAUAUUCUAAGACCUCAAUAUUAUUUCAUUUGCCUCUAGUUUGCCUAGAACUUGUUUCAUUUUUCCACUAAUUCAAAAAAAUAUUUAAGCCAAUGUGUCAGGUGCUGGGGCAGUGAGGUGACAAGACAUGAACAGCACCUUGUUCAAUGUAGCUUGUGUCCAUUGUUGCCAAGUUAAAUGAACAUAUCAGGACGUCAGUGGAGAUGCUGCCCAUUGUUGGUGAAGGGGCAACAGUCAUACUCAAGGCAACUCACGUGGUCCAGACUUUACAAAGCCACAGUCCGCGCUGCCAGCUUAGGGGAUUGGCAAGAACUUCCAGAUCUUUCCACUUGCUCUUCAGUCACUGAUUAUGUCAUUUUUACUUCCAUUGAAGUAAUACAACCCUAUAAAGAGUCAGAUAGUCUUACAUGACUGAUUACAAAGAACAUCCCUUGACCAUCCACUUCCCUCAUUUAAAUUUAGUCCACUAGGGAACCCACUUCAAUUUAUUUAGCUGUUUCAUUUCAGAUCCACUAUAUCUCUUAAUAGCUGCUACCCCUUGAUUUUUUAUGACAAUUAUGUUGAGAUAUAAUUCAUAUACCAUGAAAUUUACCCUUUUAAAUAAUUGUACAAUUCAUUGAUUUUUAAAAAUAUAUUCAUGGAGUUAUGCAACCAUCACCACUAUGUAAUUUUAGAACAUUUUCAAUAUCCUAAAAAAAACAAAACACCAAACACACUAACAGCCACUCUCCAUGUCCUCUGUUCCCAGCCUUGGAAACCACUAAUCUACUUACCAUCUCAUGGAUUUGCUUUUUACGGACAUUUCAUUAAUGGGAUCAUGCAAUAUAUGGCCUUUUGUGUCUGGCUUCUUUCACUUAGAGUAAUGUUUUCAGAGUUCAUCCAUGUUGCAGCAUGUGUCAGUAAUUUAUUCCUUUCUGUAAGCUGAGUGAUGCUCCAUUGAAAGGAUAUACCACUUUUUUGUUUAUCCAUUCAACAGUUGAUGGACACUGGGGUUGUUUCUACUUUCUGGCUAUUAUGAAGGAAGCUGCUACGAACAUCCGUGUACAAGUUUUUGUGUGGAUAUAUUUUGUCAAUUCUCUUGGGUACAGACCUAGGAGUGGAAUUGCUGAGUCACUGAUUUUUCAAGCUUUGGGCAUUAUUUACUGGCUUCUCACAUGGAGUCACUAUGGAGACAUCUUACCUUCCAUUGCUACCUCUCUUCCACAUACACACUUCCCAUCCUUCAUUCUUCCAAUGUUUAUAUCAUAAUUUUGAUUGGAUCAGAAUUAAUAUGAUAAGAUAAAUGUUGAACUACGACUACUUUUCCUUAAGGAACUUUUGAUUUUACCUGGAGUUAUUGGUCUUAUUUAUUUUCUAUGUAUCUAUCACUAAUUCAUCCUUAUUUCAUCUCCUCUCAAAAUGUUCAUAUGCAUUAGGCAUUCUAUCAGUUUUGUCCUCCCAGGUUUUUCUCAGAGUCUUCUGAUUUGCUCCAGUCUAGACUAGUUGUUCUUUAGACCUGCAGUAUGGUUGUUAUCACGAGAUUUCCCUUCACCAACACGCAGGGGGUUUCUUUCACCUCUCUCUUGUUGGGUUCCUUUUGUCCUAGAUCCCAUGUCUUUCUCGUGUUUCAUUCCCCUAUUUUUGUGGAAUAGCUCCUCCAGUUGCAUCCUGAGAACACUGCAUAGUGGGUAUGUUGUUUGAGAACUUACCUAUCUGAAAAGGCUUUACAUUAUUUAAUUAUUGCUUUUUUUGAUAUUAAUUUUUGCUAGUUUCAUUUGACAUAAAAUUCUAUAAAAUUCACUUACUUGCAGAUUUUUUUUCUAGUUUCCUUAGUUGCUGUUGAAAAGAUCGAAGCCAUUCUGAUUUUUUUUUUUUAAUUUAACCAGUUUCUUAUUCUCUCAAAGCUUUUAGGGUUUUCUCUUUGACUCCAAUAUUCUUAAAUAUGAUAUAGUUUGACUAAUAUAUUUUAUUCAUUUUGCUGGACACGUGAUAGGCCCCUUUUAUCUGACAAUAGCCUUCAAUACUAAGAAUUUUCUUGAAUUAUUUAUUUAGUGAUUUUAUUUCCUCCAUUUUUUAAUUUUUUCCUCUUUCCAUGACUCAUAUUAUUUGGAUAUUGAGCUUCCUGAUUUGGUCCUCAGAUAUUCUGAUCUCUUCUGUCCUGUUUUCUGUCAUUUUGUCAUCCUUUGUAAUGUUUUGUCAAAUUUUCCUUCCAACCUUUUAAUUGGAUUUUUAGUUUAUACCAUUUUUUAAAUUUCUAAGACUUUUUUGUUUUAUGAAUUCACCUUUUAAAACA